rnacentral:lncRNA from 10 species
CUGGCCUGACCUCAUCAGAGGAAAAUUUUAAAGGUGAAAUGUCAGGAGGUGUGCUCUGCCAGCCUGGGAGACAACCAACAGCCUUGUUAUGAACAGCCCACGAGGGGGCCACGUGGCAGGGAACUUUGAGUGGCUUUUAAGAGCUGGGGAUGGUCCCUGGCUGACAGCUAGCAGGGAAAUAGAGACACAGUCCUACAGCUAUGACGAACUGAAUUCUGUCACCAGUGAGCUUGGAAGAGGACUCCGAGAGCAGCUCACUGCAACCUCCGCCUCCCGGGUUCAAGCGAUUCUCAUGCCUCAGCCUCCUGAGUAGCUGGGAUUACAGGCUGGUGCCACCACACCUGGCUAAUUUUUGUAUUUUUAAUAGAGACGGGGUUUAACCAUGUUGGCUAGGCUGGUCUCAAACUCCUGGCCUCAAGUGAUCCACCUGCCUUGGCCUCCCAAAGUGCUGGGAUUACAGGCAUGAGCCACCACACCCAGCCACUGAUACUGAUUUUCUAUGUAGUGUGGAGAUAAAAAGUUUCUUUAACAUUUUAAAAAAUUAGUUAAUCCAAUUUUAAAAAUCAGUGUGGUAUAUCCAAACAUGGGCCAAAUUUUUUGACACUCAUCAAGAGGUGGGCUUUAUGCCUCCUCCCAUGAAUCUGGGCAGGCUUGUGUCUGCUUCCACCAAGAGUGUCAUGAAAGUGACAUGAUGUGGCUUCCGUGGUCAGCUUAUAAAAGGCUGUGCAGCUUCUGGCUGGGUGUCUUGGGACACUCCUGCUUGAGAAGCCAGCUUCCACAUAAGACACCUGAGUAGGCCCAAGACCACCAUGCUGAGAGGCCACGGGUGGGUGCUCCAGCCACCAGCCAGCAUCAACUGCCAGCAGUGUGACAAGUCAACUUGAACAUCCAGCUCAGCCAGGCCUUCAGAUGAAUGCAGCCCUGGCCAGCCUCUGAUGACAACUGUAGGUGACCCCAAGCAAGAGAGACCCUGCUUUGCCUUUCUUGAAUUCCUGACCGCGACAUCACGAGCAAAAUAAAAUGUUGUUUUAAGCCGU